CCUACGGGUGGCUGCAGUGGGGGAUAUUGCACAAUGGAGGAAACUCUGAUGCAGCGACGCCGCGUGAGGGAAGACGGUCUUCGGAUUGUAAACCUCUGUCUUUAGGGAAGAAAAUGACGGUACCCAAAGAAGAAGCUCCGGCUAACUACGUGCCAGCAGCCGCGGUAAUACGUAGGGAGCGAGCGUUGUCCGGAUUUACUGGGUGUAAAGGGAGCGAAGGCGGGCGGGAAAGUUGAAUGUUAAAGCUACGGGCUUAACCGGUGGCUGCGUUCAAAACUUCUUGGCUUGAGUGGAGGAGAGGCAGGCGGAAUUCCUAGUGUAGCGGUGAAAUGCGUAGAUAUUAGGAGGAACACCAGUGGCGAAGGCGGCCUGCUGGGCUUUAACUGACGCUGAGGCUCGAAAGCGUGGGGAGCAAACAGGAUUAGAUACCCUGGUAGUC
rnacentral:rRNA from 1 species